CGGUCCAGACUCCUACGGGAGGCAGCAGUGAGGAAUAUUGGUCAAUGGGCGCGAGCCUGAACCAGCCAAGUCGCGUGAAGGAAGAAGGAUCUAUGGUUUGUAAACUUCUUUUACAGGGGGGUAAAGUGAGUGACGAGUCGCUCAUUGCAAGUACCCUGCGAAUAAGCAUCGGCUAACUCCGUGCCAGCAGCCGCGGUAA
rnacentral:rRNA from 1 species